rnacentral:rRNA from 1 species
AGAUUGAACCUUAAAUUAAUGAAAAGUUUCUGGAUGAUUCGGAAUUAGUGGUUAAAGAUCAAUCAUACAUGGGUAUAGUCGAUUCUCUAUGGGAUCU